rnacentral:rRNA from 1 species
UUUCUUUCUGUUGAGUACUGUUGAUAAAAGAACAUCCUCGUGCUGCGNGACGAGGGAGCAGAAAUAGGCGAUCGAUGGCCCUAAAUAUCGUCUCAGAUCUUGAUUGUACCUCGCAGAGGAAGCCCCGGCUAACUCUGUGCCAGCAGCCGCGGUAAUACAGAGGGGGGCUAGCGUUUAUUCGGGAAAUUAUUGGGGCGUAAAAGCGGCGUCGUAGGCCGGCCCUUUUCAAGUGAGCGGGGUNAAAGCCCCUCGGGCUUAACCCGAGGAAGCUGCGCUCUCAGACUAGGUAGGCUUGAGACCGGGAGAGGAGAGUGGAAUUCCCAGUGUAGCGGUGAAAUGCGUAGAUAUUGGGAGGAACACCAGUGGCGAAGGCGGCUCACUGGACCGGUACUGACGCUGGGACGCGAAAGCGUGGGGAGCAAACAGGAUUAGAUACCCUGGUAGUCCACGCCGUAAACGAUGAGUGCUUGGUGUAGCGGGUAUCGACCCCUGCUGUGCCGCAGUCAACACAUUAAGCACUCCGCCUGGGGAGUACGGUCGCAAGACUAAAACUCAAAGGAAUUG